rnacentral:rRNA from 1 species
UAUCAAUAAGCGGAGGAAAAGAAACCAACCGGGAUUGCCUCAGUAACUGCGAGUGAAGUGGCAAAAGCUCAAAUUUGAAAUCCGGUACCUUUGGUGCCUGACUUGUAAUUUGGAGAGACAAAUUUGGUUGGCAGCGCUGGCCUAGGUUCCUUUGAACAGGACAACACAGAGGGUGAGAAUCCCGUGCAUGGCCGGAGUAGCUGUCACAUUGCUAGAUUGUCUUCGACGAGUCGAGUUGUUUGGGAAUGCAGCUCAAAAUGGGUGGUAAAUGUCAUCUAAAGCUAAAUAUUGGCGAGAGACCGAUAGCGCACAAGUAGAGUGAUCGAAAGAUGAAAAGCACUUUGAAAAGAGAGUCAAAAAGUACGUGAAAUUGCUGAAAGGGAAGCGCUUGAGACCAGACUCGAACCGUGGUGAUCAGCCCUGCUUCUGUGCGGCGUUACUUGCCAUGGUUUGGGCCAGCAUCGGUUCCGGCGGUCGGAUAAAAGGUGGAGGAAUGUAGCUUCCUCCGGGGAGUGUUAAUUUAGCCACCACCACAAUGCGGCCAGCCGGGACCGAGGAUCGCGCUCCACGUUGAGCUAGGAUGCUGGCGUAAUGGUCUUAAGCGACCCGUCUUGAAACACGGACCAAGGAGUCUAACAUCUAUGCGAGUGUUCGGGUGGAAAACCCUUGCGCGAAAUGAAAGUGAACGGAGGUGGGAACCCGAAAGGGUGCACCAUCGACCGAUCCCGAAGUCUUCGGAAGGAUUUGAGUAGGAGCACAGAUGUUGGGACCCGAAAGAUGGUGAACUAUGCCUGAAUAGGGUGAAGCCAGAGGAAACUCUGGUGGAGGCUCGCAGCGGUUCUGACGUGCAAAUCGAUCGUCAAAUUUGGGUAUAGGGGCGAAAGACUAAUCGAACCAUCUAGUAGCUGGUUCCUGCCGAA